rnacentral:lncRNA from 1 species
UUUUGGGAUUGCUAGUGGACAGGCAUGAGAAGGAAAUUGCAUCCCUACUAAGAAAGAUGGAAUACAAAAAGGGGUGUAGAGUUUCAGCUAGGAAGAAAAGGCCCUCCUCCACAUCCUGCUUGGUUAGGGAGCUUCAUAAUUUGGAAUGCUUGGUCAAAUAAAGCAAUUCAAUAUACUUGGAUUCUUAAACUUAGAGGUUCUUACUUUUUUUUUUUUGUGUACUUUUAGGAGGAUCUCUUAUUCUUCUUUGUACUUAUUUUACUUACCUCAAUAUACUAUACCAUUGUUUCUCAUCAAAUAAAUAAAUAAAUAAAUACUACAAUUCAAACAAAAGAGAGAGAAGUUGGAAGAGUAGGUGGGAAUUGGUUUGAAAGUGACUUUAUAGGCUGUGGUUUUUGGGUAAGGAAGUGUGAUUGUCGCAAUAGUGGGGUGUUUUAGGUUAGUCUCACCCGAGAGUUUGUUAAUUAUGGUUUCUUUGUGGUUUUAGACUCUAGGGUGAAGUCUCUCGUUUUGGGCGUUGGUUU